rnacentral:rRNA from 1 species
CGCAUCUGUGCAUGCAGCAUAUCAAUAAGCGGAGGAAAAGAAACUAACAAGGAUUCCCUUAGUAACGGCGAGUGAAGCGGGAAGAGCUCAAAUUUGAAAUCUUCAAGGUUUACCUUGACGAAUUGUAGUUUAAAGAAGUGUUUUCUGUUGAAGUUUUGGUAAAAGUUCUUUGGAAUAGGACAUCAUAGAGGGUGAGAAUCCCGUAUUUGACCAUUAUUUUCAGCUGUGUGAUACACUUUCAAAGAGUCGGAUUGUUUGGGAAUGCAGUCCAAAAUGGGUGGUAAAUUUCAUCUAAAGCUAAAUAUUGGCGAGAGACCGAUAGCGAACAAGUACCGUGAGGGAAAGAUGAAAAGAACUUUGAAAAGAGAGUUAAACAGUACGUGAAAUUGUCAAAAGGGAAGCGUUUGACACCAGUGUUGUUUUCUCGAAAAUCAAUUAAAAAGAGUUAGAUUUUGUUGUGUAUUGACCUUAACAGCUUGCAUUUCAAUUUUCUUGCUUUUUUUAAUGCACUUUUCGUUUAACAAGUCAACAUCAGUUUCUUUUGUUGUAAAAAGGUCAUUGGAAGGUGGCUUUCUUUUCGGAGAAAGUGUUUAUAGCCUUUGACUCCUGCAAUCGGAGAGACUGAGGUCUGCAGCGUAGAUCCUUCGGGGUUAGAUACAUUUGUGCUAAGUUAUAGCUUUUUAUAGACAACUUGUUGACUAUGAUUAGUCUUGUAGCUUACUCGCUUAUGCUAUUUUACCUACGCUUAGGAUGUUGACACACGCGCGUGCUCG